CUACUUUAAACAGGAUCGAGUUUAACAAGUCAAUAUAUGCGGCAAGUGGUGUUUUAUGUGUUUUGUCAUCAAAGUUGAUUUUGAUAAUUGUUGUUUUUCGCAGAAAAAAAGCGACCGAUUGUAGAAAUAGGUCGGGAAGAAUUUUUAUUAAGGAUUGUUUUUGUCACGUCGGCAAGCAUCUGAGGAUUAAUUGGAUUUAAUUUAAACGGUAAUUAAAAGGAGACAGGCAAUAGCUUGGGAAAGAUUUAUGACGAAUAUCGGGGGUUUAUAAGCACUGUUCAAGUAAAGUGCCAACAUGAAACAAGAUGUGGACCGAAAAGUGAUUCGGGAUACAGUGUGUGCAGUGACAUGCAGUACAAACCCAGAAAGCCAUGUCUCGUAUAUUCAUUUGGAUCACACUUCAUAUUUGGAUUCGAAAUUGAUGUAAUAAGGAAGUUCGAAUGUGAAAUCCAUACAUUUGAUCCAAGUAUUCCAAUUGAUGGUCAUCAUAUUCCGGAAGGCAUUAAUUUUCAUCUUAUCGGACUAUCAGACACCGACUCAACUAACGAACUUGGAUGGAAAAUGAGACAGCUCUCAACAAUUCGGAAGUCUUUUAAACCAUACUAAUGCAAUCUUGGAUAUUUUGAAGUUAGACAUUGAAGGCUACGAGUGGAAGGCGAUCCCAAACAUGAUUUUUUCUGGAGACUUUUCAUUUGUCAGGCAACUUGUUAUAGAAGUUCACUUUGGAAAUGUGAAGAGAGGUAUGGGGAAAGAUGGAUA
rnacentral:misc_RNA from 1 species